CAAAGCACCUUUGCAUAGAUCGGGUUCAAAAGGAACCAAUUUUACAACGAGAGGGGGAGGGGAACGGAAACGGGGGGAAAAAAUGCCCCUCCCCCACCCCCCGGAACCCCCCCAACUCUGCUGGGCCCGGUCCUGAAACAAGAUGGCCGCCAGGGUUUAAAAUGGCUGCCAGGAGUCAUGGCGGGAGGCAAGAUGGCCGCCGGGUUUCGGUGUCAGCUCGCAGUCAAGAUGGCCGCCGGGAAUCAAGAUGGCCGCCGGGAAUCAAGAUGGCUGCCGGGAAUCAAGAUGGCCGCCGGGAGUCACGGCAGCGCGUGGUUCAAGAUGGCCGCUGGUUCUGACAGGCGCUGGAGCAAGAUGGCCACUAACAAUGAUGUCAUCAGCGUCAAGAUGGCCACCACCUGUGACGUCACAAAGUCCAAGAUGGCCGCUCAUGACGUCACCAGCUCUGACGUCACCACAUUCAAGAUGGCCGCCAACGACAUCCAAGAGUCCGACACCAGCUCACAUUUCAAAGAUGGACGCCACCGGUGACGUCACCAAUCCUCACGUGGUCACCGGAAGUGACGUCACAGACGCACGGCGCCGCCAUCUUGGAUUCACUGAGGCGGCCAUCUUGGACCUGGCCCAGCGGCCACGCCCCAAGCCUCGUCGGCCAUCUUGGGGUCAAGCAGAGGUCACGGUCUCGGCCAUUUUUGGGUCACUUUCGGCCAUUUUGAGGCGUUAAGGCUGGUCCUGUCGGCCAUGCUGGGGACGAUCCGAGCUCGCCGUUUCGGCCACCUUGGGAUUGUCCACGGAUCACGUGACCACAUCCACGCCGCUGUCGGCCAUUUUGUGCCGCUCCCGCCGUCGGCCAUCUUUUCCCGUCCCGCCGCCGCCGCCAUCUUGCCGCGCCCGUCACGUCUUGGCCUUCCUCCCCCUCAGAGCCGUCCCCGCCCCCGCGGGCNGAUGCUCUGGGGGUCUUUAAAGAGAAUUUUGAGGGCAAAUGAGGAAUUUAGGGGAGGAAAUGAGGGUCCGGGGGAGCCUUUGGGAGAAAAAUUCGGAAUUAUUUAGGGGAUUUUGGAGGGAAAUUGAAAAUUCGGGAAGGUUUUGGGGAUGGUUUUAGAAAGGAUUGAGGGUUUGGGUGGAUGGGGGAGGAUUUGGGGGAUAUUAAACUGAAUUCUGGGACUAAAAGCGUAGGAUUUGGGGGCUUUGGGGUGAAGGGCGAUUUUGGGGAGGGUCUCAGGAAACACUUGGGCAGUUCCGGGAUGGAAUUUGAGGCGGGGUUUGGGUGAUGAGGCAAAAUUUAAAGCACAGAAUUUGUGGUUUUGGGUUGAAAAAAGGAAGAUUCGGGGACGUUUGGGCCGCAGAGGGGACUGAAGGGGAUCCCAGGCCGGGAAUUCAGAGAAUCUCUCGGGUCAGGAUUUGGGGAGAAUUCGGAGGAUUUUGGGGAGAUUUUGGGAUGGCCGGAAGCCCCGCGAAAGCCUCAUUAAAUAUUUAAGCGCACUCGGAGACAAAUUCUGGGGGAAUUUCGGGCUUUUUGAACGACAAAAGGAGCCGGGCGCCAGCGGAUGGAAUUGAAGGGCUUUGUGGGGGGUCACGGGAGAGAAUGGGGGGCAUUUUGGGAAGAACUUCAGCGAUUUUGGGCCCUUUCAGAGCUCAGCGCCGCCUGAGGGGCCAAAAUGGCGGCCCGAGGGGACCCUGAGGGGAGGGGGCCGCAACGGCGCCUCGGGGAGGCCCGGGAACGC
rnacentral:lncRNA from 1 species